rnacentral:sRNA from 1 species
UAUAAACAAAAUAAAAGGACUGAACUUAUAAUAAUGAUUCACUAAUCCAUAACCUAUUUAAUUAAAUAGUUUCAAACAUUAAGGAAUAGGAUUAGUCUGAUCAUUUUUAUAAUUCAAUUGUGAAACCUAAUGUGCUAAAUGGUAUUGGUAUAUUAGGGGCUUUUAAAUAUGAGAUAUGAUUAAUCCUUCCAAAUUUUUUGGAAGGAUAUUUAU